rnacentral:ncRNA from 1 species
UGUCUCCUCCAUGUCUCCUCUGAUAUGGAUUCAGCCCGCCAACCAUUGGCGGGCUUUUUUUU